UGUAGCUGUAAGGCGGAAAACCUUGUCACUGCACAGGUGAGUCUGCCAGACAAGACCGGGGUCCCUAGGAGGAGUACACAUCUGGGUCUGAAUGGAGGCAACUGUCCCCACAGAGGGAGCAGAUGCUGCAGCCGUCCACUCGCCAGAAGCUUCUGCUGCCGAGCCAGUUCCUGGGGUAGUAAACACUCCAGACUUGGAUAAAAUGGAAGGAGACAAGGGUCAGGUUGGACCCUCAGGAACAGGAAAGUACAUAUCUGACAGCUGUGAGUCGGACUCAGAAAGUGAGGGUGAGAGAAGUGGCAAGAAAGAGAAGAAAAAGAAAAAGAAGAAGAAGAAGGAUUCCAGUUCAUCAUGUUCAGCUUCAUCCUCCUCAAGUAGCUCUUCAGACAGUGACAGUGAGGAUGAGAAGAAGAAGAAAAAGAAGAAAGAGAAGAAGAACCAAAAGGUCGAGAGCAAGAGUUACAAGGGGGAGAAUGUCGUUAUAUCUCAGUUUGGCCAAAUGGACGAGCUGUCUGCACAAGGCCUAGAGGCACCUCAGGAUUUAAACUCAUCAGAUGAAGAGGAUAAAAAGAAGGAAGAAAAAAAGAAACAGAGAGAAAAGAAGAAAAAGAGGAAGAGAAAGAAGAAGAAAAAAAAGAAGGAGGAGGAGGAAUCGUCCUCCUCAUCUGAUAGUUCAUCGUCUGAGAGUGAUGAUGAAAAGAAGAAAAAGAAGAAAAAGAAAAAGAAAAAAAAGGACUCCAGUUCCUCCUCCUCAUCUUCAUCGUCCUCUUCUGAUAGUGACGAUGAAAAUAAGAAGAAAAAGAACAAGAAGAAGAAAAAGAAGGACUCCAGUUCCUCCUCCUCAUCUUCAUCAUCCUCUUCUGAUAGUGACGAUGAAAAUAAGAAGAAAAAGAACAAGAAGAAAAAGAAGAAAAAGAAGGACUCCAGUUCCUCCUCCUCAUCUUCAUCAUCUUCUUCAGAUAGUGACGAUGAAAAUAAGAAGAAAAAGAACAAGAAGAAGAAAAAGAAGAAGAAAAAGAAGGACUCCAGUUCCUCCUCCUCAUCUUCAUCAUCCUCUUCUGAUAGUGACGAUGAAAAUAAGAAGAAAAAGAACAAGAAGAAAAAGAAAAAGGAUUCCAGCUCUUCAUCCUCAUCGUCAUCAUCUGACAGUGAUAAAGAGAAAACGAAAAAGAAGGAGGAAAAAAAGAAGAACAAGCAACAGAAAAAGGAGGAAAAAAAGCAGAAAGAGCUCAGUACUAUGAGCGCUUUUUCAGCAGGACCAGUUUUUGAUGAGGAGGAAAAGAAUACUGAAUAUCCAGACAUGAACAAACUCAAAGAGCCUAAAGCAGCAGAAGAAGGGAAACUGUCCUCUGCAGGGGGAGCUGAGAUAAUUCCUGGUGGCACUGGUGAAGCCCACAUUAGUGAUAAAGAGGGAGAAGGAGGAGCAAAGAAGAAGAAAAAGAACUCCAGCUCUUCUUCUUCAUCUGAUGGCUCUUCUUCAGACUCUGAAGAUGACAAGAAGAUGAAAAAGAAAGAGAAGAAGAGGAAGAAAAAAAAGAAGGUCAAGGAUUCCAGCUCUUCUUCCUCAGAAGACAAGAAGAAAAAGAAGAAGAAAAAGAAGAAGAAAAAAAAGAUGAGCUCCUCUGAUGACAGCUCCUCUUCCUCCUCGUCCUCCAGUGAUAGCGAUGACGACAAGGUAACGCCCACUUACAGUGUAGCCCAGUUUUCAACCUGCCAUGACUGGUGGUUUACGAUAAAUGUGUAA
ensembl:lncRNA